GACGAACGCUGGCGGUGUGCUUAACACAUGCAAGUCGAACGGUAAGGCCCUUUCGGGGGUCCACGAGUGGCGCACGGGUGAGUAACACGUGAGUAACCUGCCCUCAUCUCUGGGAUAACAGUCGGAAACGGUUGCUAAUACUGGAUAUGAGCUUGCAAGGCAUCUUGUGGGUUGGAAAGAUUUUUUUUGGUUGGGGAUGGACUCGCGGCCUAUCAGCUUGUUGGUGAGGUAGUGGCUCACCAAGGCUUCGACGGGUAGCCGGCCUGAGAGGGCGACCGGCCACAUUGGGACUGAGAUACGGCCCAAACUCCUACGGGAGGCAGCAAUGGGGAAUAUUGCACAAUGGACGGAAGUCUGAUGCAGCAACGCCGCGUGCGGGAUGACGGCCUUCGGGUUGUAAACCGCUUUCAAUUGUGACGAAGCUUUUUUGUGACGGUAGCAGUAGAAGAAGCACCGGCUAACUACGUG
rnacentral:rRNA from 1 species